rnacentral:rRNA from 1 species
GACGAACGCUGGCGGCGUGCUUAACACAUGCAAGUCGAACGGAAAGGCCCUGCUUUUGUGGGGUGCUCGAGUGGCGAACGGGUGAGUAACACGUGAGUAACCUGCCCUUGACUUUGGGAUAACUUCAGGAAAAUGGGGCUAAUACCGGAUAGGAGCUCCUGCUGCAUGGUGGGGGUUGGAAAGUUUCGGCGGUUGGGGAUGGACUCGCGGCUUAUCAGCUUGUUGGUGGGGUAGUGGCUUACCAAGGCUUUGACGGGUAGCCGGCCUGAGAGGGUGACCGGCGACAUUGGGACUGAGAUACGGACCAGACGCCUACGGGACGCAGCAGUGGAGAGUAUUGCACAAUGGGCGGAAGCCUGAUGCAGCAACGCCGCGUGCGGGAUGCCGGCCUUCGGGUUGUAAACCGCUUUCGCCUGUGACGAGGCGUGAGUGACGGUAAUGGGUAAAGAAGCACCGGCUAACUACGUG